rnacentral:rRNA from 1 species
UAAGUGCCAGCUGACGCGGUUAAACUUAAGGGCUGGUCUUUAUAAGUAAAAAGGCGUAGAGGAUGUGUAGGCCAAGAAAUUAUCUAAGAAGGUAAAUGGAAUUUUUCUGGAGCGGUAAAAUGUGAAGAUAGAAAAUAGAACACCUAAGGUUAAAACUAUUUACCACAAAAUAGGCUGAAACAUGAGAGAGUGGGGAGCAAACAGGAUUAGAGACCCUGGUAGUCCACUCUGUAAACUUUGAAGAUUAUGUUUAGCAGGCCCGAAAGGUAAAAUCUUCCGCCUGAGUAGUACGAUCGCAAGAUUAAAAUUCAAAAACUUUGGCUGUUCACUACUUCGAUUAGAGGAGCGUGUAGUUUAAUUCGAUGGUCCGCGUGUUACCUUACCCCAGCUUGAAUCUAUGACCGGUAUUGCAUGGCCGUCGUAAGUCCCUGUGUUAAACUAAAAGGGACCCAAUCCGGGCGUUUGCCUGAAGGAAGUCAGGUCUUAUGAUCCGAAUGUUGGGGGAUUUAUGCGCUACAUUUUCUUAUAUAAUGAGAGACUUGAGAGGUAAGCCUCUAAAGUAAGAGUUCGGAAGGUCGCUGUAAAACGACUGGAAGUUGGAUUUAAUAGUAAUCGGAAAGUAGAGCGUUCCGGUGAAUUGGUACAAG